CCUACGGGUGGCUGCAGUGAGGAAUAUUGGUCAAUGGCCGGAAGGCUGAACCAGCCAAGCCGCGUGAAGGACGAAGGUGCCAAGCAUUGUAAACUUCUUUUGUCAAGGGACAAAAUCAGGCUCGAGAGCCUGACCGAGGGUACUUGAAGAAAAAGCAUCGGCUAACUCCGUGCCAGCAGCCGCGGUACUACGGAGGAUGCGAGGGUUAUCCGGAUUUAUUGGGUUAAAGGGGUGCGUCGGCGGACUGUUAAGUUAGCGGUAAAAGCCCGGGGCUCAACCCCGGCGAGCCGUUGAAACUGGCUGUCUUGAGAUGUCGAGAGGUAUGCAGAAUGCGCAGUGUAGCGGUGAAAUGCUUAGAUAUCGCGCAGAACUCCGAUAGCGAAGGCAGCAUACCGGCGGUGAACUGACGCUGAGGCACGAAAGCGUGGGUAUCGAACAGGAUUAGAUACCCCGGUAGUC
rnacentral:rRNA from 1 species